AGUGAACGCUGGCGGUAGGCCUAACACAUGCAAGUCGAACGGCAGCACAGUAAGAGCUUGCUCUUACGGGUGGCGAGUGGCGGACGGGUGAGGAAUACAUCGGAAUCUACUUUUUCGUGGGGGAUAACGUAGGGAAACUUACGCUAAUACCGCAUACGACCUACGGGUGAAAGCAGGGGAUCUUCGGACCUUGCGCGAUUGAAUGAGCCGAUGUCGGAUUAGCUAGUUGGCGGGGUAAAGGCCCACCAAGGCGACGAUCCGUAGCUGGUCUGAGAGGAUGAUCAGCCACACUGGAACUGAGACACGGUCCAGACUCCUACGGGAGGCAGCAGUGGGGAAUAUUGGCCGAUGGGCGCAAGCUUGAUCCAGCCAUACCGCGUGGGUGAAGAAGGCCUUCGGGUUGUAAAGCCCUUUUGUUGGGAAAGAAAAGCAGCAGGUUAAUACCACGCUGUUCUGACGGUACCCAAAGAAUAAGCACCGGCUAACUUCGUG
rnacentral:rRNA from 1 species